rnacentral:rRNA from 1 species
AGUGAACGCUGGCGGCAGGCCUAACACAUGCAAGUCGAACGGCAGCACAGGAGAGCUUGCUCUCUGGGUGGCGAGUGGCGGACGGGUGAGGAUAGCGUCGGAAUCUGCCUAUUUGUGGGGGAUAACCUCGGGAAACCGGGACUAAUACCGCAUACGACCUACGGGGGAAAGCGGAGGACCUUCGGGCUUCGCGCAGAUAGAUGAGCCGACGCCGGAUUAGCUAGUUGGCGGGGUAAGGGCCCACCAAGGCGACGAUCCGUAGCUGGUCUGAGAGGAUGAUCAGACACACUGGAACUGAGAAACGGUCCAGACUCCUACGGGAGGCAGCAGUGGGGAAUAUUGGACAAUGGGCGCAAGCCUGAUCCAGCCAUGCCGCGUGGGUGAAGAAGGCCUUCGGGUUGUAAAGCCCUUUUGUUGGGAAAGAAAAGCAGCCGGUUAAUACCCGGUUGUCAUGACGGUACCCAAAGAAUAAGCACCGGCUAACUUCGUGCCAGCCGCCGCGGUAA